rnacentral:rRNA from 1 species
GCAACGGAUAUCUAGGCUCUCGCAUCGAUGAAGAACGUAGCAAAAUGCGAUACUUGGUGUGAAUUGCAGAAUCCCGUGAACCAUCGAGUUUUUGAA